GCUAUAGUAGCAAAGGGGUAAUGCUAGAAAUCUAAGCUUUCUUUAUCGGAAGUUCGAUUCUUCCCUUUAGUU
rnacentral:tRNA from 1 species